AUGCGCAGCCCUCGGGCCGGCCCGGGCGCACCUUUUCUGUCUCCUGCCACAUUGUGAGCGCUCCGCCGCCCAGAUAACCGCCGGCUCCCCGCGCCGCCCCCGCCUUCUCCCACUCCGCCCACUGCCGGGAGCCCAGGGGAUGAUGCAGCAAGAAGACCCACACCAGAUGAGGGCGCCUUGAUAUUGGAUUUCCCAGCCUCCAGAACUAAGCCUGGGACUUGCCUCUGUGAUCUGGUGCUUUGGAGGGCCUUGGGCCUCAGGGCUAGCAAGGUCCCUUUCUGGAGAUUCCAGUUCCUCUGCCCGCCCUCCUUUACCUCUUUCUCCUCACACAUCUGUCUGAGGGAUGGGGAUGAGGGCUGCCAACCAAUGUUACCACUUGACAGACCACAAGAGGGCUGGUUCCAGUGCCUCCCUUGUUCAGCUGCUGACACUGCAGCUUGGCAGUCAUUGAAGGCAAUAUUUAGCUCCUACAUCUGACCUGAUUGGAAGAUCAGGCUUCUGUCGUCCUGGUUUCCUGGCCUUGGAUAGUUCUUCACUAACUUUUAUUCAUUAAGGCAGUGGGCAGAAAGCAGCAGAACCCUGUUUUUUCUUUUUUUGGGGUUUUUGUUGUUGUUGUUGUUGUUGUUUUGUUUUUUUUUGAAACAGGGUCUCCCUCUGUCACCCAUGCUGGAGUGCAGAGGUUCUGUCAUAACUCACUAUAGCCUCGACCUCCUGGGCUCAAGCAAUCUUCCCACCUCAGCCUCCUGAGUAGCUAGGGACCACAGGUGCAUGCCACUAUGCCUAACUAAUUUUUGUAUUUUUUUGUAGAGAUGGGGUUUUGCCAUGUUGCCCAUGCUGGUUUUGAACUCUAGAACUCAAGCAAUCAGCUGGCCUCAGCCUCCCAAAGUACUGAGAUUACAGGUGUGAGCCACUGUGCCUGGCCAGAACCUGUUUUUUGUUUGUUUGUUUUUGUUUUGUUUGUUUGAGGCGGAGUUUUGCUCUUGUUGCCCAGGCUGGAAUGCAAUGGCGCGAUCUCGGCUCACCGCAACCUCUGCCUCCUGGAUUCAAACAAUUCUCCUGCCUCAGCCUCCCAACCAGCUGGGAUUACAGGCAUGCGCCACCACGCCCAGCUAAUUUUGUAUUUUUAGUAGAGAUGGGAUUUCACCAUGUAGGUCAGGCUGGUCUCGAACUCCCAACCUCAGGUGAUCUGCCCGCCUCGGCCUCCCCAAGUGCUGGGAUUACAGACGUGAGCCACCGCGCCCAGCCCAGAACCUGUUUUUUAAUUUAAAAUUCUUAUUUAAAAGUUCUGUACAUUUUGAGAAUUCUUAAAACCUUCACACAUUUAAUUUAAAUAGCAGCAGAGAUAUCUGGUUCCUGGUAAUGUGAACAGGAUGGCUUGAUACAAGCUCCCUGCUCACUGCAUUUCCUCACUUCCUAAAUUCCUAGGGAUGUACCUCCAGUGAAUAAUAGUUUUUACCACCUGUACAUAUACAGGGUCAGCGGCCAUGGCUCCUUGCUCACCCAUUAACUAAGAUCACAUCCUACAUACAGUACCAGACUUAGAGCCAGAGCCCUGGUCAUGGCCUCCUAGGUUCUCACACUUGACUUUUACUCAAUCAUUUCACCAUUUAGGCUUUAUAAAAAGGGGAGACUGGCCGGGCGCGGCGGCUCAUGCCUGUAAUCCCAGCACUUUGAGAGGCUGAGGGAGGUGGAUGACCUGAGGUCAGGAGUUUGAGACCACCCAACAUGGUGAAACCCUGUCUCUACUAAAAAUACAAAAAUUAGCCAGGUAUAGUGGCACAUGCCUGUAGUCCCAGCUACUCUGAGGCAGCUGAGGCAGGAGAAUCGCUUGAACCUGGGAGGCGGAGGUUGCAGUGAGCCGAGAUCAUGCCACUGUACUCCAGCCUGGGUGACACAGUGAAACUCCAUCUCAAAUAAAUAAAUAAAUAAAAUGGGGGAAUUAUAUGACUGUUAGGGUCCUCCAGAUCUGAUACCCAGGACUGUAAUCUAAAGACUUGAUUAUGUUCAUUAAUACAUGGCAAUUUCAUUCCUUUCCUAAGAAUUACUAUCCAAAGAUCAUCCCUAAGCCCUUCCUACAAGAAACUGCCCCUUUUACAGAAUGAAUAAAGUUGUCCUAGAUUCCCGUUUUUUCCUCACUUUUUCUCAUAUCUCUAAGUGACAGUAUCCGGAGACAGCUCAGAAAGCUGGAUUUUUAGCUUUUCGUCAUAGGGCUUGUAUAUGUACAUGCAUGCAUGCACAAAUGUAUGUAUAUGUUCAUUCUUAAAGGGAUAUGGGCCAUGGGCACCUUCACUCUGUGGCCCCCCACCUCCCACCAGCCCUACUUGAAUUUUAGUAAAUAGUAAUUAAAUGCCAGGACCAGGCACAGUGGCUCACACCUGUAACCCCAGCAUUUUUGGAGGCUGAGGUGGGUGGAUCACCUGAGGUCAGGAGUUCGAGACCAGCCUGGCCAACAUGGUGAAACCCUAUCUCUACUAAAAAUACAAAAAUUAGCCGGGUUUGGUGGCACACAACUGUAAUCCCAGCUACUUGGGUGGCUGAGGCAGGAGAAUCACUUGAACCUGAGAGACGGAUGUUGCAGUGAGCCAAGAUCGCACAACUGCACUCCAGCCUAGGCGACAGAGCAAGACUCCAUCUCGAAAGAAAGAGGGAAGGAAGGAAGGGAGGAAGGAAGGAAGGAAGGAAGGAAGGAAGGAAGGAAGGAAAAAGAAGAGAAAAGGAACUCCAUCUCUACUAAAAAUACAAAAAAAUUAGCCAGGCAUGGUGGCGGGCACCUGUAAUCUCAGCUACUUCAGGAGUCUGAGACAGGAGAAUUGCUUGAACCUGGGAGGCCCUUGCAGUGAGCUGAGAUUGUGCCACUGCACUCAGCCUGGGCAACAAGAGUGAAACUCCGCCUCAAUGAUAAAUAAAUAAAUAAAUAAAUAAAUAAAUAAAUAAAUAAAUAAAUGCCAGGAUGCCUAGAAGAACAAAAGAGUAUGUACUAAGAGGCCAGAUAUAUGAGUGCAGCUGUAGUGAUAAGGAGGCCAUUGGGAUAGCCAAUGUCACAUAGGUCUAAAGUUUGGUUUUAGCUAGAGCUUUCUUCUACCCUAAUACUGCCCCCAUGUCCUGACAGCGGGUAUUGCAGCAAAUCCUGGACUGCAGCCAGAAGCUCUGGUCUCUACAUCAGCUUCUCCAUUUGAAACAUCUCAGAAUUUGAAUUUUGACUACUCUGGUGUUAACAUCAAAAUGCAUUUCAUGGGCCGGGCCUGGUGGCUCACGCCUGUAAUGCAGCACUUUGGGAGGCCAAGGCAGGCGGAUCACGAAGUCAGGGGAUCGAGACCAUCCUGGCCAACAUGGUGAAACCCUGUCUCUAUUAAAAAUACAAAAAAUUAGCCGGCGUGGUGGCAGGCACCUGUAGUCCCAGCUAUUCAGGAGGCCUCAGCAGGAGAAUUGCUUGAAGCCAGGAGGUAGAGGUUGCAGUGAGCUGAGAUCGUGCCACUGCACUCCAUCCUGGGCGACAGAGCGAGUUUCCAUCUCAAAAAACCAAAAUCAAACAAACAAAAAAACCCACAAAAAACCAAAAUGCAUUUUAUAGUGUUAAAGAAAACAUAUUUAUGUGGCAAUUUCUACACAUUUUUCUUCUGCAUUACUUCAUUUAAUCCUUCUCUCAAUCCUGAGAGCAAAGGACAGAAAAUGUUGUUCCCACUGUUUUCCACUGUUUGGUUUUGGUUUGUUUCCUUUCUUUUUUUUUCUUUGAGACAGGCUCUUGCUCUGUCACUCAAGCUGGAAUGCAGUGGCAUGAUCAUAGCUCACUGUAGCCUUGACUUCUUGGGCUCAAGUGAUCCCACCUCAGCCUCCCAAGUAGCUGGGACUACAGGCACACACCACCACAUCUGGCUAAUUCUUUUUUAUUUUUAGUAUAGACGAGGUCUCACUAUGUGACCAGGCUGGUCUCCAACUCCUGAGCUGAAGCUAUCCUCCUGCCUCAGCCUCCCAAAGUGCUGGGAGAUCUGGCCCUUGUUUUUUGUUUUUGUUUUUGUUUUUUAUGAGAUGGGUGGCUGUUGCCCAGACUGGAGUCCCGUGACACGAUCACAGCUCACUGCAGCCUCGACCUCCCCAGGCUCAGGUGAUCCUCUCACUUCAGUUUUUUUUGUAUUUUAGUAGAGACAGAGUUUUGCCAUGUUGCCCAGGCUGUUCUCGAAUUCCUGAGCUCAAGGGAUCUGUCUGCCUCAGCCUCCCAAAGUGCUAGGAUUACAGGCAGGAGUGAGCCACUGUGCCUGGCCCCUUGCUGUUUUUUUGUUUUGUUUUGUUUUUGUUUGUUUGUUUUACAGCAAAUAAAAAUGCAGUCUGGAUUUUAAGGGCCACACAGCAGCAAGAACUAAAACCUGGGUCUCCAAGGUCCAAGUCCAGGACUUCUCUAUGACACCCUACUGCAGCCCUUUGCUGGAUACCAUACAAAGCAAAUUGAGCAGAUGUGUUCUCUGCCCUCUGAAAGUUUGGACUCAAAUGGACAGCCACAAUUCUGGCAAACAUAAAAGGACAAAGUGAUUUAGUGUCAACUCACAUACGCAAUAAAUAACUGAGUUAAAUAGAUAAGGAAAGGCAUGUUCACCUGGUCUACUGAUAUUUUUUAAAUUCCAGUUGAGUAGAGAGCAAUGUUAAUAAGACUAAGGUUUUGGGCCAGUCCCAUUUUUGCCUACUUGCUUUGCACCUGGAAAAAUAUUUGUAACUGCAUGCAAACUCUUUCCCCUCCUCGUCUUCAACAAUCUGUAAACUUUCCCUGAGCAGCUACCAAGUGUAACACAAAGUGGGAAUGAAGGACCAUUAAGAAAUCAUCUCUGUGCCAUGCGCGGUGGCUCAAGCCUAUAAUCCCAGCACUUUGGGAGGCCGAGGCGGGUGGAUCACCUGAGCUCGGGAGUUCAAGGCCAGCCUGGCCAAUAUGGUGAAACCCUGUCUCUACUAAAAAUACAAAAAAAAAAAAAAAAAAAAAAUAGCUGGAUAUGAUGGCAUGUACCUGUAGUCCCAGCUACUCAGGAGGCUGAGGCAGAAGAAUCGCUUGAACCCAGGAGGCAGAGGUUGCAGUGAGCUGAGAUUGCUCCAUUGCACUCCAGCCUGAGAAACAAAAGCAAAACUCUAUCCCCACCCCCCCCAAAAAAAAGGAAGGAAAAGAGAAGAAAAAAAGUCAUCUGUGCCCUCGAGCAACAUCUUUAACCAUUCGCCUAAUUCAAACCACUGGGAUGAAAAUGUAUAUCCUGUAUAUACCAUCUCUACUGCUGGGAAAAAAGACACGUCAACUCAAUACCCAUCCUAUUUUUAGACGGCCUGAGAUUCGUCCUUAUCCAUGCAGGGCAGUCGGGUAGGACAAUGAAGAGGUGGACUUCUGAAUUUGAGAGAAAUUGGUCUUAUCCCAGAGAAGUGAGGCCACCACCCACCUGCAAUAGCUUGGCUUCCUGGAUCCCUAAGCAAAGACAGAGUCUUGCUCUGUCACUCGGGCUGGAGUACAGUGACACAAUCACGGUUCACUGCAGCCUGGACCUCCCAGGCUCAAGUGAUCCCCCUGCUGCAGCCUCCUGAGUAGCUGGGACUACAGGCCUGUGCCACCAUGUCCAGGUAAUUUUUAAAUUUUCUUUUCUCUCUCUCUCUCUCUCUUCUUUUUUCUUUCUGAGACAGAGUCUUGCUCUGUCACCCAGGCUGGAGUACAGUGUUGUGAUCUUGGCUCACUGCAACCUCCGUCUCCCGGAUUCAAGCAAUUCUUCUGACUCAGCCUGCCGAGUAGCUGGGACUACAGGCGUGCACCAUGGUGACCAGCUAAUUUUCGUAUUUUUUUUUAGUAGAGUCGGGGUUUCACAUGUUGGCCAGGCUGGUCUUGAACUCCUGACCUCAAGUGAAUUUUUAAAUUUUCUGUAGGAAUGGCAGUCUCACUAUGUUCCCCAGGCUGUCUUGAACUCCUGGGCUCAAGCAAUUCUCCCACCUCGGCUUCCCAAAUUAUUGGGAUUACAGGCAUGAGCCACUGCACCUGGGCAACACCUUGUUUUAAACAACAACAACAACAACAAAACCUCAAUGUACUUAAACAGAAUGGGUCUCCUGGUGGUCCUUAGGUCAUGGGGUGGGGUCAUGAUGCUGUCCAUUAAUGAAAGGGCAGGUGAAAUCUAGAGCAGGAGCUAAGCCUAUCUGAAUCUCAGAGCUGGGCAGCAGAAGAAUCUAUGUCAUGAAAUAAGAGGGACCAGUCCCCACUCUUCUGACCUUAGGCCCCUCCCCUAUUCCUUUAGAAUCAUAGCCUUUCUUCUCUUACCUGUAUUACUACAAAGUCAUCUGUAAGAAGGUACUGGAACUUUCAGGGCUUGAAUAACAAUCUGCCUUAUAGGUUGCAUUAGAGAACAUACAGUAAAGUAUUAUUUGGUGAAGUUAGGGAAUGGAGUGUUCUCGUUAAUCAAAUAAUCUGGUUAACAAAGUAGCACUCAACGUAUAGUAAUAUUUGGGAUAUACUUAUACAGGUUGAGUAUCCCUGACAAAAUAAUCUGAAAUCCAAAGCACUUCUGGUUCCAAGCAUUUGGAUAAGGGAUACUCAACCUAUACUAAAAUUAUUCACUGUUUAUCUGAAAUUCAAAUUUAACAAGGUGUUCUGUAUUUUGUCUGGAGACCUUACUGAUACAGCUUAGAUGUCCUCUCCAAAUCUCAUGUUCAGAUAUAAUCCCCAGUAUUGGAAGUGGAGCCUGAUGGGAGGUAUUGGGGUCAUGGGAGCAGAUCCCUCAUGGCUUCGUGCUGUUCUCACCACAUAAAAGCUUCCUGAGGCCUCCCUAGAAGAGGAGCAGAUGCUGUUGCCAUGCUUCUUGUACAGCCUGCAGAACUGUGAACCAAUUAAACUCUUUUCUUUAUACGUUAUCCAGUCUCAGGUAUUUCUUUAUAGCAAUGUAAGAACAGCCUAAUGGCUGGGCACAGUGGCUUAUGCCUGCAAUCCCAGCACUUUGGGAGGCUGAGGCAAAUGGAUUGCUUGAGCCCAGAAGUUCAAGACCAGUCUGGGCAACAUGACAAGACCCCGUCUCUACAAAAAAAAAAAAAAAAAAAAAAAAAAAAAAAAAAUUAGCCAGGCCUGCUGGCAUGCACCUGUAGUCCAAGCUACUUGGGAGGCUGAGGUGGAAGGGUCCCUUGAACCUGGGAGGUGGAGGUUGCAGUGAGCCAAUAUUGUGCCAUUGCACUCCAGCCUGGAUGACAGAACGAGACUCUGUCUCAAAACCAAACCAACCCAAAAAAAAAAAAAAAAAAAAAAAGAACAGCCUACAGCUGGGCGCAGGGACUCAUGCCUGUAAUCCCAGCACUUUGGGAGGCUGAGGUGGGUGGAUCACCUGAGGUCAGGAGUUCAAGACCAGCCUGGCCAACAUGGUGAAACCCUCUCUACUACAAAUACAAAAAAUUAGCCAGGCAUGGUGGCACACACCUGUAAUCCCAGCUUACUCAGAAGGCUGAGGCCCGAGAAUUGCUUGAACCCGGAAGGCGGAGAUUGCAGUGAACCGAGAUCAUGCCACUGCACUCCAGCUUGGGUAACAGAGAGACUCUGUCUCAAAAAAUAAUAAUAAAAUAAUAAAAAAAAAAUUAAAAAAGAACAGCCUACUACAUUUUCUUGCAGGUCCGGUCCACUGCUAGGAGAUCCAUAUCUACUCUUUGGGAGUUCUCCAGAGGAAAAAAUCAACAGGCGGGAGAAAGAUACUCUGCUAGCUUCAGAUUCAUUAGUACUAGGAAAUGGAGAGAUAGGAGGUAUAAUGUAUUAGGGAAGCAAGGGAUUCAGAACCAGGUGCCCACUGACUCUGAGAAGCACUGGGUGCACAGAGGGUAGCAGACAAGCAAGAGGGUGGAAUUUGCAGCAUCUCAUCUUGGUGAGACAGUUGGAAGACUUUUCUGCCAAUUAUAGUGGUUAAACACUGACUCAACAUCAAACAACGGCAUGAGGGGUCAGAGCCUUCAUUCGUGGACAAGUUUCAAAAACAUGGGAGCACCACCUGUCAUGAGCAAUUUAGUCAGAACAGAAGAGAAUAGAUCACACCCAACAAGACAGAAAAAGCUGCUUUCUGGAGAGGGCGGGAGCUAAUAUUUCCUAACACGGUGAAAUUGUGAAGUGCUUUUUGCAGCCCUUCAUAAUUUCAUCAUCCAAAGGGUUUGCUUUUGGAAUUCUUAGACACUUAAUUCUGUCCCUGCUUUCCGUGUCACUUCCACGGGACACUGAAUUUGGGAAGAGGGAGACCUCACCAAUGAUGGGAAGAACAGAUUGGGGGCUGGCGCCCUUUUGGGUUUGCCAUGUGAACAUCCUCCUGGAACAGUCUCCAUUCUGUCCCAGCAAGACACACUCUGCUCUGUGAAGAACCCAGGUGGGAAAAAAAAAAAAAUCUAUGAGGCCACAGUGGAAAUGCAGCUCAGCAGGACUCUCAGGUACCCCAAAAUUGUCCCAUCUGACAACUCACCACAUUCUAUUUAUUUAUUUAUUUAUUUAUUUUGAGAUGGAGUCUCACUGUGUCACCCAGGCUGGAGUGUAGUGGCGUGAUCUAGGCUCACCGCAGCCUACGCCUCCCAGAUUCAAGCGAUUCUCCUGCCUCAGCCUCCCAUGUAGCUGAGACUACAGGCAUGCGCCACCACACCCAGCUAAUUUUUGUAUUUUUAGUAGAGAUGGGGUUUCGCCAUGUUGCCCAGGCUGGUCUCAAACUUCUGACCUCAGGUGAUCCACCCCCGCCCCUCAGCCUCCCAAAGUUCUGGGAUUACAGUCAUGAGACACUGCACCUGGCCAACACAUUCUGUUUUCAUCAUUAGUGCCUGUCCUCCCUGCUAGCUCAUGGGCUCCCCCAGAGCAGGCAUGUUUGCCCUAGUCACCAUCAAAACUGUCUUAGUACCUGUCACGGUGCCUGGCACAUAGCAGUUAUUCAGUAAAUGUUUGUUGAAUAAAUCAACUAUAAACAUCAAAAUGAUUCCCUUAAAAAGGUCUUCAUUCUUGUUCAGAUGUAGAGAGUUACAUUACAAACACUUGUGUGCUGGGGAUAGGAAGGGACACUGUUGGGUAAUAAUAAGUGCUUGAAACAUGUGGGAGGGCCCUGGAAAAUAGCCCAAAAAGUUCACAUUGUAUCUGAUAAGCAACAGGGAGCUACUGCAGGUUCUUCAGGUCACCAGUAGGCAAGCAGGUGGUGGCUUUCCAGGCUGAAAAGUGUAUUUGAUCUGGAAGAUAGUAGGAUCACAGACAAACAGUGAGUCUUGGAGUAGCCUGAUCACAGUGGCAAGCUCAAGAGACAAUUUUAUGGCUGAGGGCUGAAUGUUUCAGCUGGGUGGGUGUCAAGAAACCAGCAAGACUCCAGGCAUGGUGGCUCAUGCCUGUAAUCCCAACACUUAGGGAGGCCGAGACAGAGGAUCCCUUAAGCCCAGGAGUUUGAGACCAGCCUGGGCAGUAUAAGGAAGCCCUGUCUCUACAAAAAUAAAAACAUAACAAAAUUAGCCAAGUGUGGUGGCGUGUGCCUGUGCUUCUAGCUCCUUCAGAGGCUGAAGUGGGGAGGAUCACUCGAGCCUGGGAGGUUGAGGCUUCACUGAGCUGUGAUCAUGCUGCUGCACUCCAGCCUGGGCGACAGAGUGAGACCCUGUCUCAAAAAACAAACAAACAAACAAGAAACCCAGCAAGAAUUAAGAAUUCUGGUGAGCACUGUUCCCGUGUGACCUCAGAGAGCUGAUAGGCAAUUUGAUGGCAGAGGCGGGGGCCAGUGCAGUCAUGGCCAAAAAUGGCCAGGGAGGAAGAAGAUGCCCUGGGUCUCAGCCCAGAGUCUGGUGUUGGAUGGUGUGGAGAGUAGAAGUGAAGCCAAAGUAAGGUCUGUCUUUCUUCAGAGAGAGCCUCCUAAAGGCAGAGGACAUGUCUUAUCCAUCUACACCCACAGCUCCAAGCGGAGCUCCUUGCCCAGAGAAGCUGCUUAAUAAAUUGACACACGAAUGCUUGGCUGCCUCGCUGGCUCUGGGAGGCAUGGAUGAUGCCAGAGCUUGGGGAGGCCACUGAAGCAGUGUUUAUUGUCCUUUCUCCUCCAACUUCCUCAGUCUACCCUUCUGUGUUGUCCCACCUCUCCUUGAAGCCAGAAGAUGUCCCCAAAGGUUGCUACUCUCCACAUGGACAGCAGCCAGGAGACGCCUGCCCUGCCCCGCCCCUUGCUAGUUGGUGAUGCUGGCCUAGCAAGGCAGGGUCCUGCAGGAUGAAAGCUCGGAGAAGCCAAAACAGGAAUAAUAAUGAUAAUAAUCAGCUGCGGCGUCUCAACCAUCCAGGAAUGCAAGGCUCCACGCCCUGUGUGCCUCACACCCCAGGACAUCGCAAGGGCUCCUCUCCCUUUAUUUUAUUGCAGUGAUCCCACACUGCCAUUCCCAGCCCAACCCAUCUGGAUUCCCAAGAACUGCAGUCCAGCCACCGGCUCAUCCACCACCCAGUUUCCAUGGGAAUAUUCAGCUCCAAGACCUAAGCCAGCAGCAGGGUAAGACGCCCAGCUACUUGGAAACUCGUGCUCCAUGGCUUCUGGGAGAAGCAGUCUGCCCACCCCUGGCCUGGAACGCUUUCCCAUAGACCCAUCUAUGUCUGGUCAAUGUGAGGGCCAGGUACCUUGCUUGUGUCAAUCCAAAUCUGGAUUCAAGUCUGGUCUGGCCUUAAACUAACUCACCACGGGACCCUAGACAGGUUUGGUUUCAUUUUUUAACUUUUUUGGGUUCACUCGCUCUCUUGCCCAAAAGCUUUUCAAGGAUCCCCAUGGCUCAGUGAAGAUAAACUCUGGAUCUAGAGGUCUAGUACGUGGCCAUUUGAAAUCUCGUUCUAAAACACCUUUCCAAAUCCACUCGUCUCCUUCACCUUUGGGAUGCCAGCCAGAAGGAAGUACUCACCGUUGGUCAUGCACAUCCCAUGCUUUUCCAUUUGGGGAUUUUGCUCCUUCUUUGGGAAUGUCAUUCCUUCCACCUCUACCUCCACCUGGCAAGACCCUCCUAGCCUUCAAGGCCCAGGCCAGGGGCCAUCUCCUCCAUGAUUAUGCCUGACCCUCAUCCACCUUGGAACCCUGCUUCCUUUUCCUCAGACCCUUUCAAGCCCCAGUACUCACAUUGUGCUGUGGGUGUGUGCAUAUCUUAAUCAUCAGCAUCCUGAUGUCUCGUUCAUCUCUGUGUCUCCAUGGCGGCUAGUACAGCACCUUGCACACAGGGCAAGGAAUCAAUACAUAAGUUCCAGACAUACAUUGUGGAGAAUAAUCAUCCUCACUCUAUUAAAUCCUCCCACAAUUGUGCUCCAAAAAAUAAAAAUAAUUAUUUUAGGCCAGGUGUGAUGGCUCACAUCUGUAAUCCCAGCACUUUGGGAGGCCAAGGCAGGAGGAUCGCUUGAGCCCAGGAGUUUCAGACCAGCUUGGGCAACAUAGUGGGACCCUAUCUCUACAAAAAAUAAAAUUAGCCAGGCAUGGUUGCACAUGCCUGUUGUCCCAGCUACUCAGGAGGCUGAGGUGGGAGGAUUGACUGAGCUGGGGAGGCAAAGGUUGCAGUGAGCCAAGAUCAUACCACUGCACUCCAGCCUGAGUGACAGAGCAAGACCCUGUCUCCCUAGCUCCAAAAUGUUUAUUUAAUAUAACAUUUCCUGAGUGUGUAUUAUUGGCUUGAGAGAGAAAUAAAGAGUACAAAGGCCAGGAAGGCCCCUUACCCCCACCCCAGCCUCCUCUGUAGGUAGGAUGCAGGUACCCAAGUCUCCAUGAAGACAUCAGCUCUCUGGCUUUGGCUCCUAGGCUGACACUAGGAACCCUUUCCUUGACCAGUGGCUGGUCCAGUUCCAUCUCAGACUCUGUCUAGUACGAGGUGGGUUCUUCCCUU
rnacentral:lncRNA from 10 species